AUUGAACGCUGGCGGCAGGCCUAACACAUGCAAGUCGAACGAGUGGCGGACGGGUGAGUAAUGUCUGGGAAACUGCCUGAUGGAGGGGGAUAACUACUGGAAACGGUAGCUAAUACCGCAUACCAUCGGAUGUGCCCAGAUGGGAUUAGCUUGUAGGUGAGGUAACGGCUCACCUAGGCGACGAUCCCUAGCUGGUCUGAGAGGAUGACGGGCGAAACUGGAACUGGGACACGGUCCUGACUCCAACGGGAGGCAGCAGUGGGGAAUAUUGCAAAAUGGGGGCAAGACUGAUGCAGCCAUGCCGCGUGUAUGAAGAAGGCCUUCGGGUUUUAAAGUACUUUCAGCGGGGAGGCGUUACCCGCAGAAGAAGCACCGGCUAACUCCGUGCCAGCAGCCGCGGUAAUAC
rnacentral:rRNA from 1 species